CCUACGGGAGGCUGCAGUGGGGAAUAUUGCUCAAUGGGGGAAACCCUGAAGCAGCAACGCCGCGUGGAGGAUGAAGGUUUUCGGGUUGUAAACCUCUUUUUGUAGGGAAGAAAAUGACGGUACCUGACGAAUAAGCCCCGGCUAACUCCGUUCCAGCAGCCGCGGUAAUACGGAGGGUGCAAGCGUUAUUCGGAGUCACUGGGCGUAAAGGGGGCGUAGGCGGGAUAGCAAGUCAGAUGUGAAAUCCUAGGGCUUAACCAUAGAACUGCAUUGGAAACUGGUAUGCUGGAGUCCGGGAGGGGCAGGCGGAAUUCGUGGUGUAGCGGUGAAAUGCGUAGAGAUCAAGAGGAACACUGAUUGCGAAGGCGGCCUGCUGGAACGUAACUGACGCUGAUGCUCGAAAGCGUGGGGAGCAAACAGGAUUAGAUACCCUUGUAGUC
rnacentral:rRNA from 1 species